rnacentral:misc_RNA from 1 species
UCCUGGAAGCUGCUCAUUACUUUCUCAUUUUUUCAUCAAAUGUUAACAUCAAGGAUAAAAUUGGAGGGUCAUCGUUGAGCUGAAUUCCAGGAACUAUUUAUGGGCCAUGGCUCACAUCAUAAGAAGAAAGAUUACUCUGAGUUUACUUCUACUUGUGACGCUGAUAUGAGCAUGAACUAGUUUCCAAUAAAGACAACCCACAUCACAAAUACAAAAGAUAAGCUCUUGGCUCUUCUUUUUCUUGUGGGCAUUAAAAAACUUAAAAAUUAAAAAAAAAAAAAAGCCUUAAAACCCUACACUAAUACUGUGUCAUUAAGAUAAAAUAAUAAAAGACGAAAGAACCUCCAUUUUUGUUUUCUAAGGCUUUGAGCAGGUCGGAUGCUGACUAGCAGGGUGACCCAAGAAUUGAAGCUCUUUUUUAUCAUAAAUCUCCAAAGAGAAAUCCCUAAGCAUCUGCGCGCUACCAGUAUUAGCACUAGCAGCACCAUUACAAGCACAAUUACCACCAGAACUAUUGGUUGUGCUCGUUCCUGAAUUCGAACUCAUUGACCCCAUUGGAGAAGAAGACCCACCCGAUCCCACUGAAUUCGAAACCCCAUCACCCAAUUGGAUCCCAGGUUGCAUGGCCGAAACAAAACUGGAUAUGGGCUUUGCCGCUACGUUAAAAAAUGGGGUCGCAGCAGCAGGUAUUGCCCACAAUUGAGGCUGAUUGUAAUUGGACCCACCACCAGAUAAACCAGCAGAUUGUGGCAACAUAAAAGUGCCCAUAGGCCACCAAGGCACUAACCCUUGCACACAAGCUCCCCCUAAAUUUGGUAAUAAUGCUGCUGCUGUUGUUAUCGGCGUAAUAGGAGCCAAACCUGAAGAUACAGAACUCUGGUGCUCAUUAACGUCGGUAAAAUCGCUAUUUGAAGGUCUCUUACGCCUCUUCCUCGACAGCAAGUCAUCGCCGUUGGGUCUUGCUGGGGAAGUAGUUGGGAUUUUGAGAGUUCCAUUAAUGGAAACUGCAAUAGCAGGGACGGUUCCGGUACCAGUAGCUUCAAUAAUAGCUGGUUCGGCGUGCUCCAAAAGCCACCGGAUGGUUUCGCCGUCUGACUUGUGGCCCAACUCUCGGGUUAGUUGGAAAAUCCUAGCCGCACAUGUGGCAGGCAUACGGAUCCUACGGCCACGCCCCUCCACCUUCGUAUGGCGAUCCUUGGAAGGUCUUUUGGCCGGAGUUAGUGCCCGAUUGUUUGACUGAGGUACCUGUAAGAGGCUAAUUGGGAGAGUGUUGUCGUUGUUGUUAUCAUCAUCAUCUAAUUCUUGGCCAUCUAUGUCUGUGAGUUCUUCUUCUUUAAGCUGAAUCGUGGAUUCAGGUCCGGCUUGGCCUUCGGGGUCCGGAGGUUCCACCAUAGAAGUCUCGGAAGAGGAGAAAUUCGGGUUUAUGCUUUGUUCUCGAUCGAUUUCUUCUAUUGUGUGGUAUUGAUUUGAGUCCAUGUUGGAGAGUAAGAAACUAUAACACAGGGCAAAUUCAGAGAAUUUUGAGAAAUAUACAACAAAAAAUUAAUUAAAAAAAAAAAAAAAAAAGAAAAGAAGUUUGACAAAAUCAGGUUGACUGGGCUGGGGUUUUGAUUUUUCGCCGGGGAAAGAUUACAGACACGAGUACGGAAAAACAUAUAAUAUAAAAUUUAAAAGUAAAAGUAAUUAUGGUGGAGGAGGAGGAGGAGGAGGAGGAGGAGAAGAAGGAGGAGGCGGGAAGAGAGAGAACAAACCCUAGAAAGGGAAAAAGCAAGCCCCACCAACCUUUUACGAGCCCUACCAAAAAGGCCAG